CGCUCGUUNCGGGACUUAACCCAACAUCUCNCGACACAAACUAACGACAGCCAUGCAGCACCUGUUCUAGNGCCAGCNGAAGGAAGGUCAUCGUAUCCAAUGACCNUAC
rnacentral:rRNA from 1 species